rnacentral:rRNA from 1 species
CCGGCGCACGGGUGAGUAACGCGUAUGCGACCUGCCCGUUGCAGGGGGAUAAUCGGGAGAAAUCCCGUCUAAUACCGCGUAACGCCGCGGGGCUGCAUGGCCCUGCGGCCAAAGGGAGCGAUUCCGGCAACGGAUGGGCAUGCGUGACAUUAGCUAGUUGGCGGGGCAACGGUCCACCAAGGCGACGAUGUCUAGGGGUUCUGAGAGGAAGGUCCCCCACACUGGUACUGAGACACGGACCAGACUCCUACGGGAGGCAGCAG